rnacentral:rRNA from 1 species
UACGAAGGGGGCUAGCGUUGUUCGGAAUCACUGGGCGUAAAGCGCACGUAGGCGGAUCUUUAAGUCGGGGGUGAAAGCCUGUGGCUCAACCACAGAAUUGCCUUCGAUACUGUUUGGCUUGAGACCGGAAGAGGUUAGUGGAACUGCGAGUGUAGAGGUGAAAUUCGUAGAUAUUCGCAAGAACACCAGUGGCGAAGGCGGCUGACUGGUCCGGUUCUGACGCUGAGGCGCGAAAGCGUGGGGAGCAAACAGG